GAGUUUGAUUAUGGCUCAGGAUGAACGCUAGCGGCAGGCCUAACACAUGCAAGUCGAGGGGUAGAGUGCUUCGGCACUUGAGACCGGCGUACGGGUGCGUAACGCGUGUACAAUCUACCUUUUGCUAAGGGAUAGCCCGAAGAAAUUUGGAUUAAUACCUUAUAGUAUUAUUUAGUGGCAUCAUUAUAUAAUUAAAGCUACGGUGGCAAAAGAUGAGUACGCGUCCCAUUAGCUAGUUGGAGUGGUAACGACACACCAAGGCUACGAUGGGUAGGGGUUCUGAGAGGGAUGUCCCCCACACUGGUACUGAGACACGGACCAGACUCCUACGGGAGGCAGCAGUGAGGAAUAUUGGACAAUGGUCGGAAGACUGAUCCAGCCAUGCCGCGUGCAGGGUGACGGCCUUAUGGGUUGUAAACUGCUUUUGUAUGGGAAGAAUAAGGUCUACGUGUAGAUUGAUGACGGU
rnacentral:rRNA from 1 species